rnacentral:rRNA from 1 species
UACGUAGGGUGCAAGCGUUGUCCGGAAUUAUUGGGCGUAAAGAGCUCGUAGGCGGUCUGUCGCGUCGGCUGUGAAAACCCGGAGCUCAACUCCGGGCCUGCAGUCGAUACGGGCAAACUGGAGUGUUGCAGGGGAGACUGGAAUUCCUGGUGUAGCGGUGAAAUGCGCAGAUAUCAGGAGGAACACCGGUGGCGAAGGCGGGUCUCUGGGCAUUACCUGACGCUGAGGAGCGAAAGUGUGGGGAGCGAACAGG